rnacentral:snoRNA from 1 species
CCGUCAACAUGCGGACAGGCAGCGACAUAUUCUUGCAAUCUCUCCCAAGCAUCGGGAAUAGAUUCCUCAGCUUGUUGUGUAAAAUUGGAGAUUUUAUUGUGAAGAG